rnacentral:rRNA from 1 species
UAGAGUUUGAUCAUGGCUCAGAUUGAACGCUGGCGGCAGGCUUAACACAUGCAAGUCGAGCGGAAACGAGAAAUAGCUUGCUAUUUCGGCGUCGAGCGGCGGACAGGUGAGUAAUGCUUGGGAAUAUGCCUUUGAGUGGGGGACAACAGUUGGAAACGACUGCUAAUACCGCAUAACGUCUACGGACCAAAGGGGGGGAUGCUUCGGCACCUCUCGCUCAUAGAUUAGCCCAAGUGAGAUUAGCUAGUUGGUAAGGUAAGAGCUUACCAAGGCGACGAUCUCUAGCUGGUUUGAGAGGAUGAUCAGCCACACUGGGACUGAGACACGGCCCAGACUCCUACGGGAGGCAGAAGUGGGGAAUAUUGCACAAUGGGGGAAACCCUGAUGCAGCCAUGCCGCGUGUGUGAAGAAGGCCUUCGGGUUGUAAAGCACUUUCAGUUGUGAGGAAAGGGAUGUAGUUAAUAGCUGCAUUCUGUGACGUUAGCAACAGAAGAAGGACCGGCUAACUCCAUGCCAGCAGCCGCGGUAAUACGGAGGGUCCGAGCGUUAAUCGGAAUUACUGGGCGUAAAGCGUGCGUAGGCGGUUUGUUAAGCGAGAUGUGAAAUCCCGGGGCUCAACCUCGGAACUGCAUUUCGAACUGGCAGGCUAGAAUACUGUAGAGGGGGGUAGAAUUUCA